CCACAAAGCCCUGCUGCCUUCCUGCUCCUGGGGCCUUUGCCCGCCCUACUACUAGGAAUAAAUCUACAAGGCUGCCUUUUAAUUUCUACUAUUGUGGAGAGUAUGACUUGGUGACACUUUACUUAGUACUUGGAGCUUCUCUACAGCCCCACGGGUUGGGAGUCUCUGUGCUAUGACUGAUAUCCUCGCUCUAGAGAAAUUUUGUGCCAGAACUUGGAAUGAAAUUGGAUAGAGAAAUUGGUCUCUCCUGGCCCCCUUCCUGAUCGGCCCCAUCAGUCAAAUGCAGCAGACUGCAACGAUACUGGAAGUUUUUCACUGAAGAGUCAGAGCACAGUAGCAAAAGUGGAUGACCAACCUGGAAGAAACUAACAGAAUCAAGAGCACUGCCUGGCUUUUCUUUCCUUACUUCAGUAAAUAUUUCAUAGAACAUCACUGAGCCCGGAAUUUCCUAGGUA